AUCGAUAUUUCAGACACGACUUCGACACCAGAGAGCAAGCUGCUCCUGUAGAUAGACUUUUAUUAAAAUUAUAUUUUGUGAAUAAAAUUGUGGAACGUGAAAAAUGAAAUCUUUGCUAGCUGUAGACGCGGCGGAAUACAAUGCUGCCACUGACAGGGUAAACUCAGCGCUGCAGUUACUGAGGGACGAAAUGAAAUCCCUCCGUCACCAAGACGUUACACUGAUGCGCCAGUUUAUUUCAAUGAAUGACGCCAUCAAAAGUAUCAGCAAGGACAAUAAAAGCGAAAAGAGACGAGCCAAACGCAUGCGCAACAGAUCAAUAAAUAUUUCAGCUUCACUAAACAUUGACGACGCCAUCUUGGUCGAUACCUCUCGUAAGACAGCAAAGUGUACCUAGAUAUUGUGAUGUAAUACCGGAAGUUCGGGAAAGGACAUGGUCUGUUUCAAGUGAUGAAGACUCUAAGUCAGAUUCCUUAAGCAGCAGCUUGUCUUCACUGAACGAAGAUAGUUGUGAAAGUGACAGCAGCAUGACCUCGGAAGUUCCCGUGUUCCGUCCGCCAAUGGUCACAAGACAGAGGUCAAGGUCAAUGAAGGUGCCUGCUACUCUUCGUGUGACAAGUGACAAUGCAAACAAUGUAGAGACAAUUUUAAAUAGCAAUGUGAAAUUGUGGAAACUUGCGCAAGCAAACUCGAAGGAAGAGAGUAGUGACAGUGACUCUGUAUUUGCGGAGGAUUCAGAAGGCGAGGAGAAAGAAAGCACUGUGAUUCCUCACAUGUCGUGAUUAAAAAGUAUCUAGACAAGUGAGAAAUCAUGCUCUUGACAUUUGCAUUUGGACAUGUUAUGCCAAAUGGUACUUGAUGUUUUCUUAAAAUUAUGUUUUUAACUGAUUUGGAACUAACAUGAUUUUAAUGACAGGUUCCAUUUGAUUGAACACUGUUCCAGUUAUUCUUUUGGCAUCAGUGAUACUGGCAUGUUAAUUAAGUACUGAUGUAAAGUACUCUAGAGAAUCUUUCUUUUUUCUAAAUGUAUAAAUAAUUCAAGCUCCCUUUCGAGUCUUACCGGUUUUAUCAAAUUAAAUACAACUUCAACAGGAACUUCAUUAGCAUGGCCUAGUAUCACGCAUUAUCGUGCAUUUUAACACUGAUGAGUAUUUUACUUGUCAAAGUUUCCGUAUUUACUAACAAUGCAUUAUGUUUGAAACUGAGAAGUGCAAGUGUUAAUGUGGUAUGCUUGAACACAAUAUCAAUAUAUAAAAAAUAGUAGUAGAAUUAUAUCUUCAAUAACUGCUAUCUAACUGCUAAAGGUUUGGUAAUUAUUAUUUUCUGGUUUUCGGGUAUUGUCGAAAAACAAAUAAAGCAAAAAUAUUACGAUAAAGUAAAAUAAUGUGAUAAAAAGGAAUUCAUUCCAGUCUUAGAAUGUUUGUGUCUACAUUGCAAACGUAUAUGUUCACUUGUGGAUUCUGUUACUUGUUGUUUUUUUUUUUGUCAUUUAGCAGUGACAUUUUGACACUUUCACAGAUAUAACAUUUAUAUUAUAAAUGUAAAAUGUGAGAUAUAGUAUUUUUAUAGAUUUUAUUAGCUGACGUAGUAAUCUUUCGCAGGGAAGUGAUCUGUAAAAGAUCUGUAAUGUUUCUUCUAGGUUAAAGUAAAAUAUGAUAUCCGACAGCGAUAAAUGAAUUAUUUACUUUUUAAGUUUUUCGAAUACAUGUUUUGUUACAAAACAUAUAGAUUUCUAUAUAUUUUAAACUGAAGAUUACUUUCUUUCAAAAGUAUUUGGAAAAUGAAGAAAAAAACAAAUAUAACAAGAUGGUCUUCAUAAACAUAGUCGUACGUUGGUAUAUCAUAUGUACUUUAUUUCCCCCAAGGAAGUCGUUCCCACACUUGCAUGAUUCAUUUUCGAAAUUAUGAAAAUCUAGCAGUCGUUUGACCUUAAAUGUCAAUCAGACCUUUGCAUGACACAUAAUACAUAGUUUUAUAAAAUGUAAAAAUACAAACUAAACAUAAAGUACUGAAUAUACAAUACUAUGCUUUUAUCUACAAUGUGUUAUAUCUGUGAAAAAUAUUUCUUUUUUAGCUUUAUACUGAUAAACAUAUUUCAUUGAUUUCAUCUACAAAUGCGUAGAUCCGUAUCAAACGUUCUUGAUCAGAUUAUACUGUUUCGUAACGACACACAUUCGUAUAGAAUGGAGGACAGUACCGCACCUUUUCAUGUUUGCACAUAGCUCAUUAACUAACAAGAUUGUCUGUUUCAUCAGUUGUCAAAGUCAAGACGAGAGAACUGAAAGGAUACAGUAUCUACCAUUUGUACAAGUUAUCAAUGAAAUAAUAAUAUCAGAUUUUGGCCCGUUUUGAAUGAAAUGAGGGUUUCAACUAAAGACAUUGUUUACAUGUUUGUUUAUGUUAUUAUAUGUUAUUAUUGUGGCGCCUGAGAGAAUGCUAACUGAAAAUAGUCUCUUUUUUUUCAAUGUUAUUUUGUUAAAACCUUUGACAGGCUUCAAAUAGAUUGAAGUUCCAUCACCACUAUCUUACCAUAGAUAAUAAACAUAGAUUGAUAAAGACCUUUACAAACGCAUUUUGUAAACACCUUUGUCAAGGUUAUCUAUUUUUGAUAGUUUUGUCAUUUUCACGCAUGUCUUUAUUUGAAACCCCUGUUGAAUUAUUAAAAAGAAUAAAAUUAUGAAAAAAUUAUGGACAAAAUAUAGUUAAAAAAAUAAAA
rnacentral:lncRNA from 1 species